GCCUUUUUGUGGACCUGGAUUUUGGUUCUGAAAUAUUUCCUUUUUUUAUGUUAGGUUAUAGUGAGAUACCCUGGUUGAAGUGUUCCAGUUCUGUACACAGACUCUCCUUUGGACCAGAUGCUAGCUAAAUGCUCACCUGUCACAUAACAGGGUUCUGCAAAAAUAUUCUCAGACUGGAAUCAGCAAAGAAGGCAAGUACCAGAUGUAAGCAAGUGUAUAUAGUACUUCGGAAGUGCAAGCGGAGAAGUAAAUAUUUGCUGUUGAUGCGGUGUUUGCGGUGAAAGAAUCCCAGGCAGCUCCGAGCACAGCAGAGACCCGAAGAGCAGCAGAGCCACAAGGUCGGGGUGUAUUCCCCAGGCAGCUCCCCUUGAGCUUGCCCAGCAGCGCUGGUUAUACGGUGACAGUGGCCGAGGUGACGCUGCUUUCC